rnacentral:rRNA from 1 species
UACGUAGGGGACGAGCGUUGUCCGGAAUUAUUGGGCGUAAAGAGCGUGUAGGCGGCCAGGUAGGUCAGCUGUGAAAACUCGAGGCUCAACCUCGAGACGUCGGUUGAAACCACCUGGCUAGAGUCCGGAAGAGGAGAGUGGAAUUCCUGGUGUAGCGGUGAAAUGCGCAGAUAUCAGGAAGAACACCCGUGGCGAAGGCGGCUCUCUGGGACGGUACUGACGCUGAGACGCGAAAGCGUGGGGAGCGAACAGG